rnacentral:lncRNA from 1 species
AAUUAGAUUAGGCUAACUCACCUUUAUUUAGGUUUAAACUAAUUAGGUUUGGAUGAAACCCAAUUAAGAAGCGAAUAACCAAAACCUUAGAGUCCAAAUUAGUUGGAGUUCCUCACUUGCGCCACAUCUCUUCUCCAUACCACUUCUCAUCGUACAAAAUAAGUUUGUGCAUGAGAAAAACUCUAACAAGAGCCCCUUGUUGUUGCCCAC